GAUGAACGCUGGCGGUGUGCCUAAUACAUGCAAGUCGAGCGAACAGACGAGGAGCUUACUCCUCUGACGUUAGCGGCGGACGGGUGAGUAACACGUGGAUAACCUACCUAUAAGACUGGGAUAACUUCGGGAAACCGGAGCUAAUACCGGAUAACAUGUUGAACCGCAUGGUUCAACAGUGAAAGACGGUCUUGCUGUCACUUAUAGAUGGAUCCGCGUCGCAUUAGCUAGUUGGUAAGGUAACGGCUUACCAAGGCAACGAUGCGUAGCCGACCUGAGAGGGUGAUCGGCCACACUGGAACUGAGACACGGUCCAGACUCCUACGGGAGGCAGCAGUAGGGAAUCUUACGCAAUGGGCGAAAGCCUGACGGAGCAACGCCGCGUGAGUGAAGAAGGUCUUCGGAUCGUAAAACUCUGUUAUUAGGGAAGAACAAAUGUGUAAGUAACUAUGCACGUCUUGACGGUACCUAAUCAGAAAGCCACGGCUAACUACGUG
rnacentral:rRNA from 1 species